rnacentral:lncRNA from 1 species
AACCGGGGGAGAGAACACCUCUGGCGGGGUCGUGAAACGGUAUCGAAAGGGGAAGCAUGCUUAAGACUCGCCGGCCGGAGCGCCGGGAGAGCGCAGGUCCCGGAGCACAAAGGCCGGGCGGGCAGCCCCGCCGCCUGGUGCAUCUCGGGAAGGGCUCCGCGCUCGGGGCCGGGGAGGUCGGACGCCGGUCUACCGCCUCCGGCCCCGGCUGCCGCGGGUUCCGGGGAGCCUCCGCCCCGAGGGGCUUUGUUCCUGCAGCCGUGCGCGCAAAGCCCGCUGACGGAGUACCGUCCGCACGUCCCGCUCGGGGAUGUGCAGUCUUGGGGCGGGGGGCAUACACAGAGAGAGCUGGGGGCCCUGAAGCUUAAACUCCGGGGGAAAGCUGAGGAAACGCGCCGGGCCUGGCGCCAACCGCGAGCGCUCGGAGGCGGGCGGUUCCCUCCCGCGCAGGCGGCUCGCGCGGGCUCUGCAGGGCGCGCUGGCGGCGGGGCGGGGCGCGGCGGGCGGGCCCGAGGCCUGCACGUGGAGGCGACCGUUCUCGGCAGCAGGAGCCCCGGGGGCCGCCGCGCUUGCGGGAGGGGGAAAUGCCAUCCCUGUCCGUCCCCGAAAGCUGUUUUGUCCUGCGGGGACCGGGUUUGGAGGAGAGGAAAGGCAGGCCGGCGUGAGCGUUUCCCGCGCGGGCAGCUGCUAGAAGGGGCGGGCUGGGGGAGCAGUAAGCCAGCCCACGGGGAGCAGGGACGGGAAAACAGGGCUGGAACGUACCUCGGCUGCAGACGCCAUCCCGGAGCGUGGCCACCGAGGCGGGGCAGAGGCGGCCCCGGGCUCCCGGGCUCCGGCGGCUGGCGCGCGGCGCACGUGUCCCGCGGCGCCCCAGGCUGUGUUUACAUCCGCAGCCGCUCCACGUUGUGCAGCCGCCCUGGCCUCCUAUUGGCCAGCGCGUGUGCCAGAGCGGCGCUCCGCCUCAAGGGGCGGGUCCUCCCCGGCCCCGCUUCUCUCAGGAAAACCCGGGUUCCCUGA